rnacentral:tRNA from 1 species
UGAUGAGUAGUUUAAACAAAAACGGUAAAUUGUGGUUUUAUAAAUAGUUAGUCUCUCGUCAG